GUCUCAGUUCGGAUCGGAGUCUGCAACCCGACUCCGUGAAGCUGGAUUCGCUAGUAAUCGCGCAUCAGCCAUGGCGCGGUGAAUACGUUCCCGGGCCUUGUACACACCGCCCGUCAAGCCAUGGGAGCCGGGAGUGCCUGAAGGCCGUGACCGCAAGGAGCGGCCUAAGGUAAAACUGGUGACUGGGGGCUAAGUCGUAACAAGGUACC
rnacentral:rRNA from 1 species